UACGUUUGUAAAGCGGCGAACGGGUGAGGAAUACAUGGGUAACCUACCCUAGAGUGGGGAAUAACUAGCCGAAAGGUUAGCUAAUACCGCGUACGCUUCUUGGACUUCGGUUCAGGGAGGAAAGCGCUACCGAGGGUAGCGCGCUCUUGGAUGGGCUCAUGUCCUAUCAGCUUGUUGGUGAGGUAAUGGCUCACCAAGGCUUCGACGGGUAGCUGGUCUGAGAGGACGAUCAGCCACACUGGCACUGCGACACGGGCCAGACUCCUACGGGAGGCAGCAGUAAGGAAUAUUGCACAAUGGGCGAAAGCCUGACGCAGCGACGCCGCGUAGGGGAUGAAGGUCUUCGGAUUGUAAACCCCUUUCGGGAGGGAAGAUGGAAUGGGGUAACCCAUUCGGACGGUACCUCCAGAAGCAGCCACGGCUAACUUCGUGCCA
rnacentral:rRNA from 1 species